rnacentral:rRNA from 1 species
UACGGAGGGGGCUAGCGUUGUUCGGAAUUACUGGGCGUAAAGCGCACGUAGGCGGCUUGGUAAGUUAGAGGUGAAAGCCUGGAGCUCAACUCCAGAAUUGCCUUUAAGACUGCCGAGCUAGCAGGUGAGAGAGGUGAGUGGAAUUCCGAGUGUAGCGGUGAAAUGCGUAGAUAUCUGGAGGAACACCGGUGGCGAAGGCGGCAUCCUGGACCGGCAUUGACGCUGAGGAGCGAAAGCCAGGGGAGCAAACGGG